AUUUUCUACUAGGGGUGUCUGAUUACACAGACUGAGAGAAGAGUUAUUGUGCUCUUUAACCCUCUGAACCUGAUUUGGGUUAUACCAACGUAGGGAAGUAGUCUUGAAAGAAC
rnacentral:ncRNA from 2 species